rnacentral:rRNA from 1 species
GGCAGCAGUGGGGAAUCUUCCGCAAUGGACGAAAGUCUGACGGAGCAACGCCGCGUGUAUGAUGAAGGUCUUCGGAUUGUAAAGUACUGUCUUUGGGGAAGAAUGAUUGGUUUGAAAAUAUUGAGUCAAUAUGACGGUACCCAAGGAGGAAGCCCCGGCUAACUACGUGCCAGCAGCCGCGGUAAUACGUAGGGGGCAAGCGUUGUCCGGAAUUAUUGGGCGUAAAGGGCGCGUAGGCGGAUAGUUAAGUCCGGUGUGAAAGAUCAGGGCUCAACCCUGAGAGUGCAUCGGAAACUGGUUAUCUUGAGGACAGGAGAGGAAAGUGGAAUUCCACGUGUAGCGGUGAAAUGCGUAGAUAUGUGGAGGAACACCAGUGGCGAAGGCGACUUUCUGGACUGUAACUGACGCUGAGGCGCGAAAGCGUGGGGAGCAAACAGGAUUAGAUACCCUGGUAGUCCACGCCGUAAACGAUGAGUGCUAGGUGUAGAGGGUAUCGACCCCUUCUGUGCCGCAGUUAACACAA